AUGGUUGCGUGCAAGAACGAACGGAGCAGCUGCAUCACCCACGGCUACGUAUGGGAUGAUACCGUGGAGUUGCUCGUGGAGAACGACCUUGACGCAGUGUCUGCUAUGGCGGCGCUUGCCGCGGCUCGCCCUUCUUCCGCAGAUGGUGUCUCCCACCAUGACGCACUCCAGGCCUGUGCCCAUCAUGCCCGCCUAUGGCUAACCCGUGCUGAUGCGCCGAUCCACCCUGGCUCCUCUGUUACAUAUGCUGCGGUGAGGUCCAAGUUAGACAGGAUCAUGGCAUCAGACUACUACACAGCACCUGCAGUUGCUGGGAACCAUGGAGCUGAAGGUCUGCAGGCACAGAUGAGCAUGACCGACUCACCAGAGGCACCAUCACUCAAGGAGACCCUAGCUGCUGAAAAUCACAAGGAGGACGAGGAAGAUUCCUCGCAUGCCACAGAAAUCGACAAUGAUCAUCAGUCUAAUGCAGCCGAUGUGCAAAAUGUGGAUGGUAAAACCCUGGUGAACCCUCGUGUGGAAUAUCGCGUGGCUGAGGCAGAGCAGGAGAAAUUUGAUGUGAAAGAACAAGAUCAGAUGUAUGCCGAGCCAAAAAAGCAACAGUUUCAACACCCUCGACAAUCUUGUCAGAACCAGCGAGGUGGUGAUAGUGGCUGGAGGGGGGCCUACCCUAAUGGCCGCAGCGGGCAUGGAGGCAGCCGUGGCAUGGGCAGCAGAUACGAGAAUGGGCGUGGAGGUGGUGGUGGUGGCGGCCGUGGCAUGGGUAGUGGAUACGAGAAUGGGCGUGGAGGUGGUGGUGGUGGCUGUGGCAUGGGCAGCGGAUACGAAAAUGGGUGGUGGUGGCAGCAGCGGGUACCAGAACAACCGGGGUGGUGGUGGCGGUGGUGGGUACCAGAACAGCCGGGGUGGUGGUGGCACCGGUGGGUACCAGAAUAG
rnacentral:rRNA from 1 species